UUUAUGGAGAGUUUGAUCCUGGCUCAGGAUGAACGCUGGCGGCGUGCCUAAUACAUGCAAGUCGAGCGAACGGACGAGAAGCUUGCUUCUCUGAUGUUAGCGGCGGACGGGUGAGUAACACGUGGAUAACCUACCUAUAAGACUGGGAUAACUUCGGGAAACCGGAGCUAAUACCGGAUAAUAUUUUGAAUCGCAUGGUUCAAAAGUGAAAGACGGUCUUGCUGUCACUUAUAGAUGGAUCC
rnacentral:rRNA from 1 species